rnacentral:misc_RNA from 1 species
CCUCCUUAAAAAAUAAUCGCUUAGGAUAGGCGUUCACACGAAUAACUUGCUUUUACCUAAAUCAUUUCUUUACAGAUUUGAGAUUAAGGAGCGUUCUUUAACAUUUUUAUAAGUUCAAUCAAGUCACAUCAUAGUGUCUUAGUUUUUUAAUUUAGAUAUGAAUGAUGUGCAAAUGUCACCAAACCCGUCAUGUUUUAGAACAUAAGUUUGGUGUACAUACUGCAAAGUAAUUUUGGCGAAUGACAAUAGAUACUUGAAGAACAUUAAUCAUUAAGUUGUUUGAUGUAAUAUGGUCAAGUAAUUAAGCGCAUACGGUGGAUGCCUA